UACGGAGGAUGCAAGCGUUAUCCGGAAUGAUUGGGCGUAAAGCGUCCGCAGGUGGCUGUGUAAGUCUGCUGUUAAAGAGUGAGGCUCAACCUCAUAAAGCAGUGGAAACUACACAGCUAGAGUGCGUUCGGGGCAGAGGGAAUUCCUGGUGUAGCGGUGAAAUGCGUAGAGAUCAGGAAGAACACCGGUGGCGAAGGCGCUCUGCUAGGCCGCAACUGACACUGAGGGACGAAAGCUAGGGGAGCGAAUGGG
rnacentral:rRNA from 1 species